rnacentral:rRNA from 1 species
AAUAUUGGACAAUGGGCGAAAGCCUGAUCCAGCCAUGCCGCGUGUGUGAAGAAGGUCUUCGGAUUGUAAAGCACUUUAAGCUGGGGGGAAGGGCAGUAAGUUAAUACCUUGCUGUCUUGACGUUACCGAUAGAAUAAGCACCUGCCUACUUCGUGCCAGCAGCCGCGGUAAUACGAAGGGUGCAAGCGUUAAUCGGAAUUACUGGGCGUAAAGCGCGCGUAGGUGGUUCGUUAAGUUAGAAGUGAAAGCCCCGGGCUUAACCUGGGAAUUGCUUUCAAAACUGACGAGCUAGAGUACGGUAGAGGGUAGUAGAAUUUCCUGUGUAGCGGUGAAAUGCGUAGAUAUAGGAAGGAACAUCAGUGGCGAAGGCGACUACCUGGACUGAUACUGACACUGAGGUGCGAAAGCGUGGGGAGCAAACAGG